rnacentral:tRNA from 2 species
GGAGAGGUAGGCCAGUGGUUUAAGCCAGCGGUUUGCUAAACCGCCAUACGCUUGAAAAGGUGUAUCGAGAGUUCAAAUCUCUCCCUCUCCGCCA